rnacentral:rRNA from 1 species
AGUGAACGCUGGCGGUAGGCCUAACACAUGCAAGUCGAACGGCAGCACAGUAAGAGCUUGCUCUUACGGGUGGCGAGUGGCGGACGGGUGAGGAAUACAUCGGAAUCUACUUUUUCGUGGAGGAUAACGUAGGGAAACUUACGCUAAUACCGCAUACGACCUACGGGUGAAAGCAGGGGAUCUUCGGACCUUGCGCGAUUGAAUGAGCCGAUGUCGGAUUAGCUAGUUGGCGGGGUAAAGGCCCACCAAGGCGACGAUCCGUAGCUGGUCUGAGAGGAUGAUCAGCCACACUGGAACUGAGACACGGUCCAGACUCCUACGGGAGGCAGCAGUGGGGAAUAUUGGACAAUGGGCGCAAGCCUGAUCCAGCCAUACCGCGUGGGUGAAGAAGGCCUUCGGGUUGUAAAGCCCUUUUGUUGGGAAAGAAAAGCAGCAGGUUAAUACCCCGCUGUUCUGACGGUACCCAAAGAAUAAGCAUCGGCUAACUUCGUG